rnacentral:rRNA from 1 species
CCUACGGGAGGCAGCAGUGAGGAAUAUUGGUCAAUGGACGAGAGUCUGAACCAGCCAAGUAGCGUGAAGGAUGACUGCCCUAUGGGUUGUAAACUUCUUUUAUAAAGGAAUAAAACGAGGCACGUGUGCCUUUUUGCAUGUACUUUAUGAAUAAGGAUCGACUAACUCCGGGCCAGCAGCCGCGGUAAUACGGAGGAUCCGAGCGUUAUCCGGAAUUAGUGGGUUUAAAGGGAGCGUAGAUGGGUUGUUAAGUCAGAUGUGAAAGUUUGCGGCUCAACCGUAAAAGUGCAAUUGAAACUGGCAGUCUAGAGUACAGUUGAGGUAGGCAGAAUUCGUGGUGUAGCGGUGAAAUGCUUAGAUAUCACGAAGAACACCGAUUGCGAAGGCAGCUUACUAAACUGUGACUGACAUUGAUGCUCGAAAGUGUGGGUAGCAAACAGGAUUAGAUACCCCAGUAGUC